AUGAGCUUCUCCACAAGUUUCGGGUGUGCCGGUGCACACCCCGCACGCCAUCUGGAUCCGCCGCCGGCCGGGAAGACAUUUCGCGGUGUCAGCGCGACGCACUUCCUGAGGAAGAGGCGGUUCGCUGGUCGCCCUGGUCGAUUCGAAUGCUCCGCAAACUCGCGCCAAUCUGGGCCCCGGCGCACCCCCAAGGACACCAUGUACGACCUCCACCCCGAGAUCUCGAUGCUUUAUGGAGAGGAUAAUGGCGCAGUUGCUGCCCCCAGCAAGGAGCAGGGUAUCGGAAAAGCAAUUGAGACCUUACCGCUAGCAGAUGCUUCCAUUGCGUACCGCUACAAUGAGCCCCGGAUUAAAGUCAUAGGGGUUGGAGGCGCCGGCUCCAAUGCCGUGAACAGGAUGAUUGAGAGCUCCAUGAAGGGGGUGGAGUUCUGGAUCGUGAACACUGAUUUCCAGGCUAUGAGGAUGUCGCCCAUUGACCCGGCAAAUAGGCUGCCGAUUGGCCAGGAACUGACAAGAGGUCUUGGUGCUGGUGGGAACCCAGAAAUCGGAAUGAAUGCAGCCAAGGAAAGCCAGGAGUUGGUAGAAAAGGCAGUGUCUGGAGCUGAUAUGGUUUUUGUCACGGCUGGAAUGGGAGGUGGAACAGGCACUGGCGGGGCGCCCGUUAUAGCAGGGAUCGCAAAGUCUAUGGGUAUAUUAACUGUUGGAAUCGUGACGACCCCGUUUUCAUUUGAGGGAAGAAGGCGGGCACUCCAGGCACAAGAAGGAAUUGCGGCCUUGAGAAGCAAUGUUGAUACACUGAUUGUAAUCCCAAAUGAUAAGUUACUGACUGCUGUUUCUCCAAAUACUCCUGUGACAGAAGCCUUUAAUUUGGCAGAUGAUAUUCUCCGGCAAGGUGUCCGUGGAAUCUCAGAUAUCAUCACUGUGCCAGGUUUGGUCAAUGUUGACUUUGCUGAUGUACGAUCAGUUAUGUCAGAUGCAGGUUCAUCCUUGAUGGGGAUUGGAACAGCAACAGGUAAGACACGAGCAAGAGAUGCUGCACUCAAUGCCAUACAGUCUCCUCUACUUGAUAUUGGUAUUGAAAGAGCAACAGGAAUUGUGUGGAAUAUCACCGGAGGGAGUGACCUAACAUUGACAGAGGUGAAUGCAGCAGCUGAAGUGAUAUAUGAUCUCGUAGAUCCUGGCGCAAAUCUAAUAUUUGGGUCUGUCAUAGACCCAUCAUAUACUGGUCAGGUGAGCAUAACCUUGAUUGCAACUGGAUUCAAGCGCCAGGAGGAAAGUGAAGUCCGACCCGCGCAGGCUGGAGGCGACGUGAACCGCGGCCGCAGCUCCCGGUUCUCUUCAUCCUCCCAGGACGAAGGCCCGAAGCUGCAGAUUCCUGAGUUCCUACAGCGGAAAGGGCGUUCGGGGUUUUCCAGAGGCUGA
rnacentral:rRNA from 1 species